AGUAAUGUCUGGGAAACGGCCUGAUGGAGGGGGAUAACUACUGGAAACGGUAGCUAAUACCGCAUAACGUCGCAAGACCAAAGUGGGGGACCGUUCGGGCCUCAUGCCAUCAGAUGUGCCCAGAUGGGAUUAGCUAGUAGGUGGGGUAACGGCUCACCUAGGCGACGAUCCCUAGCUGGUCUGAGAGGAUGACCAGCCACACUGGAACUGAGACACGGUCCAG
rnacentral:rRNA from 1 species